GCCGGAGUUCCAGGACACGGUCACCGGCUCAGGGAAGUAGCCUAACACCAGGCAGGCCAGGGCCACGGUGGAGCCAGAUGUGGUCCCGCAGCUGGGGGCCAGUGGGAACACCGAUGGGGCCGUGGUGGAGGCUGCAAGAGAGGAGGCCAAUGUGACUGUGGUUCCAGUGGGUCCCCAGUGUGGGGAC